CUCUAUAUUUUCUUGUAUUUUUUUAUGAUUCAUUUUUAAGUCUUUUUGUUUUUUUUGGUUUCUUGUUUUCUUUUUGAGCUGUACAUGUUUUCUUUAUUGCUCCCUCGCUUUUAUAAAUAUGCAAAUUUGGGCCUGUAUUUGUUGAGAGAUUGGAUCUUUGAGUCUUUAGUCGUUGUUGGUGUGAAAAAGAUUGUAACUUGUGGAAAUAUUACUGGGAUUUUAUAUUUCAGAUCAGAUAUCUUGACAUCAGUUCCAUUAUUACUCGUAAUUUGAUGUGAAUUUAGUUCCCUUUUUGUUGAAUGCAAUCUUUGAAUGUAUGGGGGAUUUGUAAGAUUGAGAUAGUUAGGUGCUCUGGGGGGGUUUUGAAUUAUGGAGGUAGGUAAAAAAGAUUUAAUUUUUUCUGCAUUCAGAAGAAAAUUUGCCUCAAGAAUUUUGUGGGUUGUAGGCAUUUAGUGUUCGGAGAGUGUGUGGCGAUGACGAAUGGUUUCAUGGGUUAUCGUAUACGCUGUGAGAAAGAAAAGGAUAUGAAAAAGUAUUUUAAGUCUUUGAUUCUUGAAUCUAAUUGUGAGCAACUGGAUAUGCUUUCAAAAUAUGUACCUGUUUCCAUCACUCCAUAGCAUGUGAUGCGGUGAGAUUCGGGGAACAGCUCAUGCUGUUAUUACUCGUCGUUAAGUAUGAUUAUAAGAUGCUUAUGUUUAGUUCUCAUUUCAUCAGGUAAAAAACCAAAAUGAUUGAAUUUGUAUAUGACUUGACUUUCUAUAGAUCUUUGUUAGAAAGCAAGUUUUGGAGAUUUUUGGAGUUGUUAUUCGACUUUGCUGGCUAUCAAUACUUGGGCAUACGCGGGAGCAGAUCACUAUUUCGAAUAAAGCUCCAGUAUUUCUUCGAUCCAGUUGCUGUACUUGGCACAACAUUGAACGAGCAGUUCAAGAUCCCUACUUUCCGAAACUUACUAAAAGCGAAUGUUAAUUCGUUCAAGGUAUGAUGGAAAUUAACGGUAAAGUUUCCCACAAGAAUGAAAAGAAGCCUUUGGAGAACUCUGCUCCUGCCAGUGUACCUAAAAGGCUACCAGAGAAUAAUUCGAGCACUUCUAUAUUUGUCAAUCAUGCUGCAAUUGCAUGGGAUGAGAGCAGAAGAAAAUGGGUCGGAAAUGCUCCUCAGAGGUCGGAGGACAGAUCCAUGAAGGAUCCGGUUAUAAGCUGGACCACUACCUACGAAGAUCUGCUCUUGACUCACGAGCCAUUCUCCGAGCCAAUCCCUUUACCUGGAAGUUACCCCGUCUUUGGAUUUCAUGCUCCAUGAUGUUACAGUACAUGUAGAGAUGGUCGACUUUUUGGUUGAUAUCUGGCAUGACGAGGGGCUCUUUGAUUAGAACAACUCCUUACUGAAUAGUUCAGGCAUCUAUAAGACUAUAACCCUCCCCUCUCUCCAUUAUCUCAGAUUCGAAUUUCAAAGCAAUAAUCGACUCCCACGCCUCCUCAGAAUGGUGAUGUCCCGGCAACUGCAAACCUUGUUCCUUUGUUGUACCAUUCAUUAGGUUAUUCUCGAUCCUACAUGUAUUCUAGUUCUGUACUCGUUUUAGCUUGUGUUCUUCGAUUCUACAAGUGAUAGCAUAUCCGAGACGGAGACGUUUAGUUAUUUAGGUAGUGCCUGGCUCGCCCCAUGAGGAACUCGACCGUGUGUAUCUUAUCCGGCCUCAUUGGUCUAGUUUAUAUCCUAGAGUUUGCAAAGUCAAGUUCUUGAUAGCUGCGCCCUGAAAGGCUUGACGUAUAAAGAACUCGACUGGCUAAAUCGGAACGUGACCGGGCCCAUAUCCGGUUCCGGUCUAGUCUAUGUAGUAGGGUUGUUGUAAAUCAAAAUUGAACCUCUUUCUAUUGGGAACUAUUUGGAUAUUUAACAUUUAGUAAUGCCUCAUUUCUAAUAUUGCUUGUAGAAUCUAAAUUUUUUAUAGCAUCAUAGCUUCUUUUUUUGUUGGUA